rnacentral:rRNA from 1 species
UAAGCGGAGGAAAAGAAACCAACAGGGAUUGCCUCAGUAACGGCGAGUGAAGCGGCAAAAGCUCAAAUUUGAAAUCUAGCACCUUCGGUGUUUGAGUUGUAAUUUGAAGAUGGUAACCUUGGGUUUGGCUCUUGUCUAUGUUCCUUGGAACAGGACGUCAUAGAGGGUGAGAAUCCCGUCUGAUGAGAUGCCCAUUCCUAUGUAAGGUGCUAUCGAAGAGUCGAGUUGUUUGGGAAUGCAGCUCUAAGUGGGUGGUAAAUUCCAUCUAAAGCUAAAUAUUGGCGAGAGACCGAUAGCGAACAAGUACAGUGAUGGAAAGAUGAAAAGAACUUUGAAAAGAGAGUGAAAAAGUACGUGAAAUUGUUGAAAGGGAAGGGCAUUAGAUCAGACUUGGUGUUUUACGAUUAUCUUCUCUUCUUGAGUUGUGCACUCGUAUUUCACUGGGCCAGCAUCGAUUCGGAUGGCAAGAUAAUGGCAGUUGAAUGUGGCUUCACUUCGGUGGAGUGUUAUAGCUUCUGCUGAUAUUGCCUGUCUGGAUCGAGGGCUGCGUCUUUUGACUAGGAUGCUGGCGUAAUGAUCUAAUGCCGCCCGUCUUGAA